CCUAUUCAAAAUGCUCCAGUCGGACUCGAGUUGGAUCUAUCUUGUCAAAGUUGUGGAACACAUGCUAUUUUUUGUGUCAAACUGGAUCAUCAUGGAGAUUCUUUUCCUACGCUGUAGCCUAAUUAAUUUGACUAUGUCCAUCAAGCAUCUAGUUAGUCGCUAACUAAUUGUGAUCCUUUUUUGUGAAAGGAGAAAACACCUCUGAAGUAGUACAUAAAUUGGGCCCUGGUAAAAUUUUAUAUUUGCUUUCAUCUAGGGUAACCUUGUUUUAUGUGUAUGGGUUUCAAUUAUAUUACUUAUAUCGUGGAAUUGAAGACUGUAGCAACGAGAUCUUUGUCGGGAAAGGGUUUUGAAAUAAGUUUUUGUUUCAGUUGAUGCUUUGUGCUUUUGUGUAUAAAAUCUUCAAAUAUUUAUGCUACUGGAGAUUUCUUAGCUUCUUAUGUAAAGAGCUCAAAUUUGAGCUUCAUGCUUUUACAUUGACGCUGUUCUGUAUUUCUUGCUCUGAUUUCAUGGAAGACUUGAAAAUAGGAAAUUGGUGUGUAAUUUACAUACAUGCGUUACAAUGGUGUUCUGGGCAAGUCCUUCAAAUAGGUAAAAAUGUAUAUCUAGGUUUAUGUUAGAAAUUCUUGUUAUGUUCUUUUCGUAUUUACUUUUCUAAAUAGUUAUGUACUUUUUGGACGUGCUUCUAGGGUUUUAAAUCUAAUAUCUGUUAAUCAAUCAAGAAUUUGAGGGAGAUUAAAAUUGUUGAAGUCAUACAUCUUUAAAUUGGGAUGACAGGUAAAAUCAUAUUGUUGGAUUUUAAAAUUUUCUUGUGGUUAGCUUUGACAUUUGUCCUAAAAUUUGAAUUUACGGAAUUUGUAUGGCUUGACAUCUAUGUAUCUAUUGAUAUUCACGCAUUGUUAUCUUUUAUGUUAAAUUUCCAAAUCUAUCAAGCAUCUGAGUGAUUUAAAAUUAGCUUUAGAAUUGGUGAAGCAAAUUGGUUGCACACGUUGAGGAUGAAGCACAUACAUAGAUUUCAUUAUUAUUUAAGCAAAGGGCAUGUGGAAGUAUUAGUCAUCUACAGAAGGAGAUUUAUCAAAAAUUGGAUAGUUUUCCAGAGCGUUUUUAUUUUUUUACUUAACAUAAUAAAAACAUAAGAAUAGGAUGAGCAAGAAACCAUGACAUCUUGGUGAUUGCCAUAUGAUAUAAGGCACAUCGACUAGAGAAAUUUAAUUUUAAGGUUUAAGAUCAUUUCUUGCAUUUUAUGCCAUGAACUUAGAAUUCAAUUUGCUAUCGUAUGACUUUGAAGAAUUGUUUGUUCGGUGGCAAAAAUCAAUCCAAGAAAUGUAUUUGGUUCUAGAAUUAAACUAUUUCAUUCUCCUCUUGUUUAUUUCAUUGCCUUUGUUAUUAGGUAGGUCUUUAUUUUAUGACGACAAUUUUGUUAUUUAUUUUCUUAAAAAGCUGAAAAUAGUCCUUAUGUUCUAUAAUUCUUUGUGGUUAAUCCUGGACCGAAUCUUUGUUUUGUCCACAGAAUACACAAGUCCACGGAUUUUAUGAUGAAUGCCUACAGAAGUGAGUUCAUUAAGUCCAAUCCUGAUUUGCAUCAAAAGUUAUUUUCAUUUACUUAUAUUUUUCAUACCUAAUUGUAUCUGGUUAAUUUAAUAAUAGAUUGAGAAGAUUGUUAUAAUUUGCAUCAAACCAAGAUUAGUAUAUUUUAAAGAUGAAAAACAAGGAGUUUUAUUCCUUAGUAAUGAGAUCUCAGAGAAAUUGGAUGAACUAUAUUGACAAAUUAUUUAAAGAAAGGCGUGGCAUGGAUAUUUGGUAUUUGACGAAGUCCACUAUAGCUAGGAGUUUUAUUAUACUAUAAGAACUCAAUCUUUAUUGGGGAUUAAUUGUAUAAAGAGGACAAAGAUGAUAAAAAAAAUAAAUAAAUAAAUUAUCCUCGAUGGAAUUAGAAAUGUUUGAGCGAGGUGGGUAUUUUAUGUCUAUAAUAGAGAAUCACUUUUGAUUAUGCUUCUGUUUCUAUUAUUAUUGAUUUGCUUUUGAGAUAAUAAAUAACAAUGUUGACGAACCUCAUCCUUUCAUCAAACAGGCUAUCUUCAGCAAUUUUUAUUGCAAAAGAAGAAGCCACCAAAACAGGACAAUGAGCUUCCAUUAUGUAGCAUUGAUUACACUUCCUUAAGUUCUUAGUCUAAUGAUUCAUUUUGUUGUGACAAAUAAAUACUUCUCGAAAUAUAUUUUAGUUUGUUACAAUUCACAACUUCGUUGGCAAGGAAAGAUAUAUUUGAUUUGGGAUAAUUUUAAUUUCCUAUAUAAUGAUAUUUGUGCUUUAGUUAUACAUGGAAAAGGCUAUGUACAUAAUGUCCUUUCGUUUCCUUUAUCAACUCAGCAGACAUCUACCUACUGUGAUAAUGAAAUAACACUUUUGGCUAUUAGAAGUGGGUAUGCUGGCUAGGUGUUUGUGCAUGCCUCUUGUUUCUAUUUACAUUGGGGAGAUCAUCGAGCAAGGAAGCCUCUUAUGUCUGACACCUAUAAGGUAGUUGUCUUUAUUUUGUUGCCCUACCGUUGCACGUGGGAGAUAAUUUUUCCUCUGUUAUAGUAUCUAUUAUUUUGUUAAGUAUUUAUUUUUAUUCAAUCAGCUAACUAGGGAAUGUGACAUUUGAGAGAUAAAUUUAGGUUUUCAGUUUUUUUUUUCCUAGUUUUGUAGGAGGCUGGUUUGGAAUAAAUAAAAAGUUGGGUUUAGCUUACUUUCAACCUAAAAGUGAAUUUAUAUGUUGCGUGGGAUAGAUCCUUGCUAUUAGACAUACACCUCUGAGUACAAUUUUUUUAGCUAUCUACCUUUUGGGAAUAUAACUAUUUAUCACCACUUGUUAGUUCGUCACUGGUAAUCAAAUUUGUAUUCUACUUUCAAAGAUGAACAAUAGAACCCUAGAUUCUACUUCAUUGCGAGAGUGAACAUUUUCUCACCAUCACAAUUCUUUAUGACAUGGGUAGUAUCAUUUGGCUACAGUCUAAGCCUCCUUAAGAAGAGGUAUUCCUUUUGUCGUUCAUUUACUUAGCUUUCAAAUUUAUGGUACCAUGUCGAUUCUAAUUUAUUUGAAGUGUCUCGAUCAUGAACAGAAAAAGGGGUUUCGCUUGUUAUGGCAGUUGCACGCUUUCAAAGGGCAUACAUCAAUCCUCUGAUCAAGUUGGCCAUUCACUUCGACUAUGCAUGUCCCCCAUUAGCUUUAUUGGUUUUUGAGUUCUUUUUUAAAUCCAUUGCUACUAGAAACGUAGGAUAUGUUUCUUGAAUUUCUUGUUGGUUGCUUUGCAAUUAUAUUAUGACUUUAUUUUAUACAUUGGCUUGCAUUUGGUGCACAACAUAAUUUUUCGUUCUUAAUACUUUUUUAUUCUUCUUUUUCAUGUCAUUUAUGUUGGGAAAUUGGAUUUCAAUGAGAUCAUUGUUUCUCUUUGAUUUCAAUGUUGUUGCAUAUUUAUCAUAGAUUUAAUUGUUUGAUUUUUCAAUAGGUUCAUAUAUUGUUAAAGUAGAUGUGUACUAAAUUCUUUAAGCACUCUCAUUGUCUCGCAUGUAACAAAUUCUUUUAAUGAACCCACAUGUAAAUUUCUUUGUUCACAUUGAUUUUUCCUCUACGAUCUAUCUGUGGUUUAUUGUGCUGUAAAAUCUCAGUGUAUUGUGUUUUUUGGAUUUGGUUUAGCUGGCAAAUAUUUCUCUUCCAAUUGCACACAUUCUUUAAAAAGUAUUUUAUCAUUUAUGGAAAGAAUGAUAUACUUUAUUGCAUUUUGUGGUUUAGGUUCACUAGCAAGACUUUGUACGCUUUGUUGUUUUGCUUUUGAUUAUUGCUUUGAUCGUCCUUGAAUUUAACAAUUUGUUUUGUUGAGAUGACAGGCAACACAGUUGCUGCUCUCAUGGCUCAUCUUUGCUCAAGAAACUGAGGUGAAAUGACAUACAAGUGCAGAUGAGACGUUAAGGAGAAUUAGGGUAUCCAUCAUGUUCAAAAAUUAACGGAACCUGCAGAUUUUCAAGAAUUGGUGAAUUCCAGCAUUACGACAAGGUGUACAAACAUGAACCAGGAAGCCGCAAUUCCUUUUGCUGUCAUUGUACACGAGCUUUUAAAUAUUUUUUUUUUUUUUAAAGUUAAAGGAGGGCGGUACCUCCAAGAUUUUAUUAAUUUGCCCUCACUUGUGACGGAAGAAUACCGUGGUUGCAUAUGGAAAAAUGAAAGCAAUAAAUGAGAAAGACUACUUCCCUUACAAUAAUUGAAAAUGCUAAAGAAAAUGUGUUAAGCGGUAAAAAAUGAAGUACUACUUCCCUUACAAUAAGAUUUGAUGCAAUUAAAGACAAAAAGUAAAAACAACUAAAACUAAAAAUUAAAAUAGAAUUACCAUUCACAUUCUAACAUUGGGCAGUCCAUGUCUAUCAAUUUGUGCGAGUGCUCGAAUAUGACGUGGUAGGUCAGAUGAUCCAUACAUUUGAUAUCGCCGGUGCUCCCAACCUAUUGCGGCAAGAGCGUCUGCAACUUGGUUUUCCUCUCUACAGAUAUGGGUAACUCUGUCUCUAUCGAAGGAGAUGAUGUCUGCAAUCUUUCUGAGUAUGCCUCCUUCAUCUUUUGUGAUGCAAUAAAUGGCUGCACUGGAAUCUGCCUCAACCCAAAUGUCUAAAAAUCUAAGGCCCCUAGCCAAUAGUAUCCCAUCAAGAAUAGCCUUCUAGUAUCUUACAUUGUUCAUACAAUGUUGAGAAUGCCCUUAUGCAUUUUCCUGUGUGGUCUCUGACGAUACCUCCCCCGCUCGCAAAGUCAUCCUUGAAGUUUUUAAACUUGAAGGUAUGUCAACUUCUAUUUAAGUUUGUAAAUUCAUUUGGAUACUUAUUCCUUAGCUUUUGAAAUAGUCAAGCAUGAGAACGCAUGUAGUUGUUUUGAUCACUUACGAAGUUUGCAAAGAAUUUUGAAGUAGAAUGGAAUCCCUUAUAUUAAUUCAGAAAGCUCAAUGGGCUCCAAUAAUUCUAAAUCGCUCUCCCCUGAAUGCAGGGCAACACUCUGACAUUGUAACUAUCCAAAGGAAAGAAAGACAUGUAACAAUAAGAAUACUUUUACUAGAGUUUCGAAUUCACCAGUAGCAAUGGUCGUACUAAGCUUUUCCCUUUAAAUGAAAAUAUUCAUCAGGGAAUGGAAAUGGUAAUGUCUUAAUCCAAUAGUAUGAAAUUCUUUUACAAGAUCAAUUCAAAUUGGCACCCUAGCCAUGGGCAAUAGACAUGCUAUAAUGGCCACAACAAUUGGUCAUUUAUUUAUAGUAAUUCACCAGAAAAUUGAAUCUUUCCUUUUGGUCUUCAUCUUCAAGAUGGUUAUAAUCCGUUUUUAGAACUCAAUUUAAGUGCUGGGAAGAUGAUUACAGGUAUCAAGCACUUGAAUUCAAAAUGAGAAAGGUCAAGUAUAGCACAUGGCCAACUUAUGCUCUUUCCCUACAAUAUGAGAAAUUGCUUAAUGCAAAAGAUGGACUUCAAAUUACUGUGGCAUUAUUGCAGGAGAUGUUUAUGUCGCUGUAGAAAGUACUUCGAUUUUUUGCCCAGGUCUGAAGCAUAUUGCUGCAACAUUGUUUUCUUCAGUUUGGGAGUUCUAUCUAUCUAUUUAUUUAUUAAACUGCUUUAUAGCUAUGGUUGGUCCUCCAGUAUUUGGGUUGAUAUGUUAGGAGUCGCUUCGAAAAAGAGGAGCUACAACAAAGUUUUGGAGAUUACAAAUGAUUAAGAGGAAAAAAACCAAGUGUUCAAGACAUCAAAUAUCCAAUCAAUAUAAUAAAAGUGGUAGAUUCAAAUGUGAGUGAGCUGAAGUCAUUGGAUGUACCGUGGAUCAUGUGGUAAUUUUAGAUUCUCUUCUAUAGGUCUACUAUUGCCCGUUCUAUGUAAUAUCAGAACCAUCAAAUUUCAGAGUUAUUUCAAUAUCUUUAAUAGCAACAUGUUAAA